rnacentral:piRNA from 1 species
CACAGGGUCACGCUUAAACAUGCAGGUA